rnacentral:lncRNA from 1 species
AUGUGGGGAACAGGCCAGGGGCAGGACCCAGUCAUGCAGGGGUGCUGGCCCCAGGUUGUCUCCAGGAGCUCCUCCAUUAGAUUGCGUUGCUGGAAUAAAUGUUCUCCACCCCACUACCCUUCUCUAAGGAGUGCCACAAACCAGUGGCCUGCCUGGUUAUGCUUGUACCUGAUCCAAUCCACUGGCAGCGUUCCCCAAGUGACACAAAUACUACAGCAGAGGAGGAGAGGAAAAUAUCUCAAGCUGAGUGCAGUCGUCAAGAUGUCUGGGCAUUUACAAGAAGACAACAACAACAGCAACAUCAUAACAUGGCAGCAACCACUGGGAUUGCUUAGGACACCUCAGGGAGUGACAGAUACUUGCCCUCUCCCUGAGAAAAGGACACAAAUUAGCUGUUCAGUUUCCACUGCAUGGGAACUCUUCAGUGGAAAGAUAAAGUUUGAGACCAGAAGAAUCAUCAUGGCCAUCUUAUUUAUACCUCACGGUCUAUUCAGUUAUGUUUGCUACUUUGGUACAGUGACAUCAUGAAAUUAAUAAAAUGGGCUGAAGCACAUUUUCUAUAAAAGGA